rnacentral:rRNA from 1 species
UGCAGUCGAGCGAGAACCAGGGCUUCGGCUCUGGGGACAGCGGCGAACGGGUGAGUAUCACGUGAGUAAUCUGCCCUCGGCACCGGGAUAGCCCGGGGAAACCCGGAUUAAUACCGGAUGGCCUCGCGAGCCUUUGGGCUCGUGAGAAAAGGUAGCUUCGGCCUCCGGCCGAGGAGGAGCUCGCGGCGGAUUAGCUUGUUGGUGAGGUAAUGGCUCACCAAGGCGACGAUCCGUAGCUGGUCUGAGAGGACGAUCAGCCACACUGGGACUGAGACACGGCCCAGACUCCUACGGGAGGCAGCAGUGGGGAAUAUUGGGCAAUGGGCGAAAGCCUGACCCAGCCACGCCGCGUGAGUGAUGAAGGCCUUCGGGUCGUAAAGCUCUGUGGGGAGGGACGAACGAGCACGGUGCUAAUAUCACCGGGCCCUGACGGUACCUCCUUAGCAAGCACCGGCUAACCCUGUGCCAGCAGCCGCGGUAAUACAGGGGGUGCAAACGUUGCUCGGAAUCAUUGGGCGUAAAGCGCACGUAGGCGGUCUGUUAUGUCGGAUGUGAAAGCCCUUGGCUUAACUGAGGAAGUGCAUCCGAAACUGGCAGGCUA